rnacentral:misc_RNA from 1 species
AAGUAACGUUGAUGAGAUGGCUACCAAAGGGAGGUAAGGGUUUUUAAGCUUUCAUUUCUUCACAUUCUCAGUGUAUUAAAAAGUGCAUUAAAAUUAAAGGAUUUAAUAAUGAAUGAUUUUUCACAAUUUACACUAUCCGUUUUAGUUCAAUUCACAAAGUUUGUUAAGAUUAUAUGGUAAACAUAGGUUCUUGGGAAGAGAAAAUUCGAACUAGCACAGGUAUGCAUAAUUAAAGACCCUAGUAAAUAUUGGACUGACAAUUAUCAGACCAGUCGCCCCAAUGACACGAUAUCUAAUAGGAUAUAUUAUAUACUAGACUAAGUAUAUUGAAAGUAAAAGCCUGAAAAUAUCUUAUUUCAUUGUAUCUGGUAAAUAUGGUCCAAGCCUCUGAAUUUCUAUCAAUAAGCUGUUAAAUGUAAUGGGAAGAGAUAGAUAUAUACCCUAUCUAUAUAAAGAUACACCAGGUGUAUUUAUAUACAGAUAGGGUAUGUAUCUCUCUUCCCAUUACAUUUAACAGCUUAUUCAUAGAAAUUCAGAGGCCUGUGAUAUGGUUACCCAUAAAAUAAUAGAAUUAUAUGAUAUGUACAGUAUAUCAGAUGCACCAAUAUAUAUAAAAAUAUAAAGGCUUUAAGUGACAAAGAUUUCUUACGGAUCUAAUCAGUUUUUAAUUUCGAGGGAUCAAUCUUUUAAACAGAAGGGUUACAGAAAAAACAUUUAAAUUAAUUAAAAGUUCAGCACUACAUCACAUACAUUUUAUUGUUUCAAAAAUCAUUCACCAAUAACCUGUGUAUUUUUACAUACUACCAGGUCUAAUAUCUUUCAUUGUAAACAUCUUAUAAUGUUUUUAAUAAAUUAAUAUCUAUAUUUACAGGAAUGUAUUAGUCUUAUUUGAGAGUUUGGCAGGAACAAAGCAUAAAUAUGUUCGUAUAAGACCAAAAAUAGAUGGUCCUGGAGAAGCUGUGAUGUUUGAUCCAUUAGGUGAGUCAUUAUAAAAAGACCAUAUUUGUCACUUGCAUAUUUUUAUUAUUUUAGGUUAAAACUUGUAAUAUAAAUUAACCCCAAAAUUAUGUUUGAUCUAAACAAUAUUUAUUCAGUGAUUUAUACAUCAUACACAAUCUUAUUGACAUGUACAUUACAGCAACAAUGCUUAAAGAUAUACCGUAUUAAUUAAUUUAGUUCAUUAGCAUAACAUCACAUAUUUUACAGUCAAAUUAGAUUUUGUCUAUAUUGUUUAAUUUCUAUAUAAUUGUUAUAUUCUAUUCUCUGUUUUUCAGUACAAGAAAAAGUCCUGUACAGAGAAAUAAAGAAACUUAAGACAAUGAAAGACAAAAAGCCUUCAAAGUCAAAAUCAAAAUGAAAAAAAUGCAUUAGUGACAAAUCUGAAGUGUGUGAGAAUAAACAAUGUGACACUGUGUGAUGUUGUUGAUGGAAGUGAAUAACAUGUUAUUAAAAUUAUGAAUAAACAUGUAAGAUUU